rnacentral:tRNA from 1 species
GGUUAAUACCUUCCCCUACUA